rnacentral:lncRNA from 1 species
UCCUUUUGCUAAGAGAAAUUCUUGCAUUCUUAGGAGAAUAGAAUUUGUUCUGCCUCACUGUUUAACACCCUUGAAAUUGACAUGAUAUUAUUUCUACUGUCUAUGAGUUCUCAAAAGAUUCAACUCCUCUGCCUUCCAGAAUUUGUUCCAAUUGGCUCAUCAAAUUUAGAUCCUCCUCUGCUUUGAGUCUGAUACCACUGCCGCCUCUACGCGGUCAUCCUGCCCAGGCCUGCCAAAUUCACCGGGCAAGUCGAGGGUGGGCUCUGAAUUCCAAGCCGCCAAAGGCAAGGCCUCUGCUACACGUUGAAUUAAUGUAGUCCAACAUUUCCCAAAGGCGUGUCGUUUGGAAAUUCUGCAUACUAUAGCUCCCUAAAAAUACAUAUAUUCUUUUUUAAAAAAAAGGAAAAAAUUAUCUUCCUUGGUUUAAUUCAGUACUUUCCAAUCUUAUUUAAUCACAGAGUUCCUUUACACAUG